UAAAAGGCCUUUCUAAAAUAACUAAGUAGACAAACUGAACAGGCCUAAGGCCACAACACUGCAAAAAUAACUUAUUUU
rfam:Nomascus leucogenys chromosome X, whole genome shotgun sequence.